CCCGAGAAUGAAGACGCAAGAAGCGACUGAAAAUUUUUUUGAGAUUUGGAGAAGCCAGCCCAGUUUGUGGGAUGUUAAAUCCCCGUUUUAUAAGGACAGAAUCGAGAAGGCAAAAAGUUAUGAGAUAUUCAAAGGCAGACUAGGAAUGGAAGAGAAAUUAGUGAGGAGUAAAAUGAAUACACUACGGAGUUAAUUCAGCGCAGAAUUGAAGAAAGUAAACAACAGCAACAAAAGUGGAGCAGGACGAGAUGAUGUUUACGAAGGUUAAUGGCCAUACUUUCAGUCCUUGCUAUUCCUACGUGACUCCAUUGUCCCAAGAAAAACAACUUCUUCGAUGGUGGGUAUAAAUUUCAGACAAAUAUUUCUUGCCAUGGAACAGCACCAGUGGAGUUAAAGUACGCACAAAAUAUAUCCCUGAUAUCUUUCGCAUCAUUUCUGUAGUUGUUCAGAUGAGAUUACUCGCCGUACCCUCUUUCGGAACACCGCUCAUUCAAUCUCCGAUCCCAAGGAACUCU